UUAGUGGCAGACGGGUGAGUAACAUGUAGGUAUCUUCCCAUUGGUGAGGAAUAACACGAGGAAACUUGUGCUAAUACCUCAUAAGUCUUUACGGAGAAAGCUUUAUGCGCCGAUGGAUGAGCCUGCACUUGAUUAGUUUGUUGGUAGGGUAAUGGCCUACCAAGACAAUGAUCAAUAGCUGAUUUGAGAGGAUGAUCAGCCACAUUGGGACUGAGACACGGCCCAAACUCCUACGGGAGGCAGCAGUAGGGAAUCUUGCACAAUGGGGGAAACCCUGAUGCAGCGAUGCCGCGUGAGUGAAGAAGGCCUUUGGGUUGUAAAGCUCUUUCGUCGGGGAAGAAAAUGACUGUACCCGAAUAAGAAGGUCCGGCUAACUUCGUGCCAGCAGCCGCGGUAAUACGAAGGGACCUAGCGUAGUUCGGAAUUACUGGGCUUAAAGAGUUCGUAGGCGGUUAAAAAAGUUGGUGGUGAAAUCCCAGAGCUUAACUCUGGAACUGCCAUCAAAACUUUUUAGCUAGAGUAUGAUAGAGGAAAGCAGAAUUUCUAGUGUAGAGGUGAAAUUCGUAGAUAUUAGAAAGAAUACCAAUUGCGAAGGCAGCUUUCUGGAUCAUUACUGACACUGAGGAACGAAAGCAUGGGUAGCGAAGAGGAUUAGAUACCCUCGUAGUCCAUGCCGUAAACGAUGUGUGUUAGACGUUGGAAAUUUAUUUUCAGUGUCGCAGCGAAAGCGAUAAACACACCGC
rnacentral:rRNA from 1 species